UACGAAGGGGGCGAGCGUUGUUCGGAUUUACUGGGCGUAAAGGGCGCGCAGGCGGUCAUUUUUGUCGAGUGUGAAAGCCCCGGGCUUAACCUGGGAACUGCGCUCGAAACGGGAUGACUAGAGAUCGGGAGAGGAGAGUGGAAUCCCAGUGUAGAGGUGAAAUUCGUAGAUAUUGGGAAGAACACCGGUGGCGAAGGCGGCUCUCUGGACCGAUACUGACGCUGAGGCGGCGAAAAGCGUGGGGAGCCAAACAGGG
rnacentral:rRNA from 1 species